rnacentral:tRNA from 1 species
UCGACCACGCCAGAAUUCGAACCUGGAAUCUCUAGAGAUUAGGGUAGGGGUAAUGAGAACCGAAAUCUAACGCCUUAGCCAUUAGGCCACGCGGCCA